rnacentral:rRNA from 1 species
CAGCAGCCGCGGUAAUACAGAGGGUGCGAGCGUUAAUCGGAUUUACUGGGCGUAAAGCGUGCGUAGGCGGCUUCUUAAGUCGGAUGUGAAAUCCCUGAGCUUAACUUAGGAAUUGCAUUCGAUACUGGGAAGCUAGAGUAUGGGAGAGGAUGGUAGAAUUCCAGGUGUAGCGGUGAAAUGCGUAGAGAUCUGGAGGAAUACCGAUGGCGAAGGCAGCCAUCUGGCCUAAUACUGACGCUGAGGUACGAAAGCAUGGGGAGCAAACAGGAUUAGAUACCCCAGUAGUCCCUGUCUCUUAACA